UACGAAGGGGGCGAGCGUUGUUCGGAAUCACUGGGCGUAAAGGGCGCGUAGGCGGGCCAGCCAGUCUGUGGUGAAAGCCUCCAGCUUAACUGGAGAAGUGCCGUGGAUACUGCUGGCCUCGAGGAGGAUAGGGGCAUCUGGAACGGUCGGUGGAGCGGUGAAAUGCGUUGAUAUCGACCGGAACUCCGGUGGCGAAGGCGAGGUGCUGGGUCCUUUCUGACGCUGAUGCGCGAAAGCCAGGGGAGCAAACGGG
rnacentral:rRNA from 1 species